rnacentral:rRNA from 1 species
CUCGUAGGCGGUUCGUCGCGUCCGGUGUGAAAGUCCAUCGCUUAACGGUGGAUCCGCGCCGGGUACGGGCGGGCUUGAGUGCGGUAGGGGAGACUGGAAUUCCCGGUGUAACGGUGGAAUGUGUAGAUAUCGGGAGAACACCAAUGGCGAAGGCAGGUCUCUGGGCCGUCACUGACGCUGAGGAGCGAAAGCGUGGGGAGCGAACA